UACGUAGGGUGCGAGCGUUAAUCGGAAUUACUGGGCGUAAAGCGUGCGCAGGCGGUUAUGUAAGACAGAUGUGAAAUGCCCGGGCUUAACCUGGGAACUGCAUUUGUGACUGCAUGGCUAGAGUGUGUCAGAGGGGGGUAGAAUUCCACGUGUAGCAGUGAAAUGCGUAGAGAUGUGGAGGAAUACCGAUGGCGAAGGCAGCCCCCUGGGAUAACACUGACGCUCAUGCACGAAAGCGUGGGGAGCAAACAGG
rnacentral:rRNA from 1 species